GGUCUGCAAUAAACCAAAUGACUUCUGGUAAGGUUUGACUAUGUGAGGUGGAAAAUGACGUGGUAUACUCCAAAACAGGCUUGCGGUGAGUGUGUCUUAUGACUUGGGGUUUCUACCUUGAUCUCUGUUUUUUUGUAAGUCAUUUGGUUCAGAAUCUAAUAUGAAAGUUUCUUUUCUUCGAGUAUUGGAGACUUACCCACCAGAUGGUGAUGCCUUUCCUGCCUCCUUGAUUGCAGUGUGGGAUGUGCCCUGAUCCUUGGAAAGGGGUGAGUGAUUCCUGCAUCCUCACUAGAAGGUAAUCUCUAGUUACUUUUUCUUGUGUCCAACAGGUGGCACUGGAGCGUUGUGAUCCUCCUGAGCAGUGCAAGGACUCUACUGAGGCUCUUGGUGGACUUAGCAGGAAUCCACACCCAUAGGUGGACGCCAAUAUCUAUUCCUUCCUCUGUCUGGCAAGCUCUGGUGUCCCCUGAGGUCGUUCCCAUGCUUGCAGAGGUCUUAUGGACUUGGUUGUUGUUUGUGCUCCCUGGGCUUUCCAAGGGUGUGCCUCUUGCUUGACACCACCUUUCCCAUGCUUUAUUUCCCAGCAGGAGCUCCCCUUGGCCUCCGUGUCUCGCUCUGGCCAGGCAGACGUGGUGUGCCAACGGAUCAAAGCCUUCAGAAUCCAAGCAAAAGAAAUGAGAGAGGCUGCCCUGGGUGAGACAGGAGAAGUGUCCCUUGAAGCGGGGGACGCCCCGCUGUCACUGCCUCUCACAUCUAUCGGCAGCACAUUCCUUUUCUCUCCUUGCUGCCUGGUGCUUUGCCGUCUGCCAUUGCUUGCCGAGUCCAAAUGUUCCCUGAUGGAGUCCAACCCCAGCUUGACCAACACUCGCCCAGUCUGUCCCCGCACCAUCUGGCUUAGGGCUCUGCAGUACUGCUGGAUGUCACUGCCUUCUGUUGCUCCCUGUCAACAUGGUGGUGUUCUUUCUUUUUAGGUUCAGUAAUAUGUCUUCUUGUUAUGCAGUGUUAUUCUUCUCUGUUUUCUUGUGUUUCAUGUUGCCUGUCAAUGCCUCUUUGGAGAUACACUGAGUGAAAUGUAAACUGAUGUUUUGUCCAAGUGUGAUGGAAAAUGAAGAUGUAGGCUCCACUACAGCUAUUGUACUCCACUACCGGAUUCAAUGGGGCUUACAUGUCUUCCUGUGUUUGUGCAAUGGUUGUGCACUGAUGCUUGGAAGGGAUCCACUGUCCUCGUUGAAGCGGGAAGGACCAUUUUGACUAUUUGUCAAUGCCCACCUGGCAAUCUGAAUUUAGGAGCCGCUUUCAUGGGCGCGUCGCUGCAGGGCAAACAAGGCCUCAAAACUUCAGCGGACCUCUACCCCCAAGAGAGCUCUGAAACUUAUCUUAAGAAAAUAAAUGUCUUAAUACUUUUCUGUCUUCUAUAGUUUUAACUGUUGCUUUAGCUUGGCUGGAAAAUAGCUAUGUAAAGCUAAUUGAAAAUCUUGCUGAAGGAAGGUUUUAGUGUUUCAGACUGUUGGGUUCGUAUGACUCUCCCAAGAAGUGUAGGAAGUGUGCCAAUUUACACAGCAGUUGCACUAAAUUGGACAAUACUGGAUUAUGUAACAAAUCAGAUGGAAAAUGGUGGAAAUUGUAAAUGCGUGGAUGAAAAUCAGAGUAAGGUCGUUGAGUUGAUUUUUGUCAUUAUUACUAAUACCUGAACCGUUUUCAUAGACAGGAAUGGCAACAGUGCAAAUCAUAUAAACUUUGGGUGCAGGAACCUGUCAGGUGUAGGGUGUUGUUGGGAAUAUGUAGUUUUGGGAUGCUUACGAGAUAUAAUGAGACUGCUCGAUGGCAGCAAGGCAGGUACCGUGAUUCUAGGGCCACUAACAAUACAGUGCGAUCUGGAGAUAAAGCUAUAUUAGCUAUAGCGGGCAUGGGGACUGCAUCAAUGAAGCAUAGGCAAAAAACGCUGUCAGUUCCCCUUUGGGUAUUGGUGGAUGUGUGGAAAUAGAUAUGCAUGUGAAAUUCUCCCAUUGAAUUGGACUGGGACAUGCACAGCAGGUUAUCUGAUGCCUCACAGAAGUAUCUACAGUUGCAUAGAGUCACCAUGAGGAUUUUUAAGAGCUAUGCAGCUAUACUGAAAAGGGUGAAAAGCUAUAGAAAAGGGUGGAUUGUAUCAAGGAAAGUAUAAAUCUGGACCUUAUAGUAUGUGCCAAGUUGGGAAGGAACACAGAAAGUGGUGGAACAUGAGGUCCGUGAGUACAAGGAAGAUAAGGAAGCAGAGCUGAUGACACAAUGGAAGGUCCAUUGAAGGUCAGCGGAGUUCCUCUUUGUAACUCAAUAUGCAGUCCCGUGAACAUAAGGAGGCAGAGCUGCCAUUGCUGAGCAUAAAGAAGCGAAGUUGCCAUUGCAACACAAUGCAAGCCUGACCUUCUGAAGUUGGAAGCUCUCAGCGAGAUAUGCUGAUCACCUUCAUCCAACGCUGUCCAGAGAACUGCGCUGCUUCUUUAGGACCAUGACUGUAGGGUGGGGCAAUGAGUUAAUAAUGUCUUGGAAUUCCACCCAUCUUUCUUGCAAUGUAAUUAAUGUUUGUAUGUUAUGUUUUAAAAUAUGUAACCAUUGUUAUCCUGGCUGUGCGAGUUAGGAGAUUUCUUGUUGCAUCUUACGUUGUAAUAAAAAUGCCUGUUGAGUGAGUGUGUCUACGUUACGAUUUUGGUACGAACGCAGGGCUUAUACCUGGCAUUCUGCUAUUGAGCAUUUGUGAAUGAAGAAAGCUUUUAUAGAGGGUGAUUUAGGAAGAUGCCUGGAUGAAGUUGAAGGCUGCUGGAUUGACUGUCAUGAUGCUCAAAGAAUCAUAUGGAGUAGAAGCGAGCCUGGAAUAGAAGACUGGAAAUCUUUAGUAUCCGUCUCGGAGAGCAUAGGGACAUGGGGGGGGUCUGUCUGUGUUUAUCAUCUUGUGUGUUACUGCUGAGCAUGCAGUAUCUGCAGAACUAGCAUGGAGUCUGAAUUGUGUCAUCUUUGAAGCUGUUAUGCUGGAAAUAUCCUCCGUGCUUUCUGGAAUUGC